rnacentral:rRNA from 1 species
UGGGGAAUAUUGGACAAUGGGCGCAAGCCUGACCCAGCAACGCCGCGUGAGGGAAGAAUGUCUUCGGAUUGUAAACCUCUGUCCUUGGGGACGAAAAAAAUGACGGUACCCAAGGAGGAAGCUCCGGCUAACUACGUGCCAGUAGCCGCGGUAAUACGUAGGGAGCUAGCGUUGUCCGGAAUUACUGGGCGUAAAGGGUGCGUAGGCGGCAUGGCAAGUCAGAUGUGAAAUCCCCGGGCUUAACUCGGGGGGUGCAUUUGAAACGGCCAAGCUUGAGUGCAGGAGAGGAAAGCGGAAUUCCUAGUGUAGCGGUGAAAUGCGUAGAUAUUAGGAGGAACACCAGUGGCGAAGGCGGCUUUCUGGACUGCAACUGACGCUGAGGCACGAAAGCGUGGGGAGCAAACA